rnacentral:lncRNA from 1 species
UUGGAAAGCGUAUGGUUCACGUGUUUAUGUACAAGCGCAGCACAACAGACGAUGCGGAUGAAAUUUUAAAUUGGAUUCCAGGCUGCCGGGUCUUUUUUCCCUGUGAGGCAACUACGUUUGCUGCAUCGGCGGGAAUCCACUAGCGGCAUCACCCCGAACCAUCACGCACAUGCUGCACACGUGCUCAACCAUGAUUUUCACGCCGUUCCCCUGCGAAGAGGCCGGUAGUUGUCCUCUGUUCUGGAGGUUAUUAGCCUUCGUUGGGGACCAACACGUUUUUACGGGUUAUGCGCUCACCUCCGGUUGUAAGAAGGGAGCAUGCAGGGGAUUGAACGGUGACAGGAGGGCCGUUUUUCCCUUGAUAAUGUCUCCGGCACAUCGGGAGGCUGUCACCAGAGACACCAGAUCCCUGUUCAGAUGGGAACCGGGUUUUUUGGGUCAUCAUUGAAGCGGGAGGUCGCAAGACGCAAGACCACGGAGUGAUGUUGCAAGAUUCCAUCACCCGUGCCCAAGUGCCUUUGAACCGUGACCGACUCAAACUAGAAGGAAAUCGCCAGGUGAUAGUCACCCAGCCGCGUGUAUUCUCCUUUUGUUUCACGUAGGCAUGCAGCCCUUGUUUGUUGAAAGUAGAUUCCUUUCGACAACUAGGAUCGCAUCCACAGAGGGCGGCAGCUGAUCAUACCUGUCGUGGAAAUGGAGCCUCGUGCAUGCUGUUCACAUAGACGUUCACACCAUUUAAAAAUAUCCGCAAG